GAUUUAGACAUGAAAAGGGAGAGAGAGGGGGAAUGACAUGCACCAAAGGGCUUCAGGUCAGAACCGAACCCGCGGCCAAUGCGUCGAGGACUGAGCCUCUGUAUAUGGGUGCGCGCUCUACCAGGUGAGCUACCCAGGCUCCCAAUAU